AUCAUGAUUACAGAUUCUAGCGUGAUUUGUUUUGUAUUUAUGGAUGUGUGUUGGAAUGAUAAACCCUAGCAGCCAUAUGCAACAACAUCCAAGCAACAACACGGCACAACUUCCUACCACACUAACCUUUCAACUUCUCACGUCUCUCUUUUUCUUCUCCCUCUUUCUGUUUUUCCUCAUUCACUCUCUUCAUCCCUCCAGAUUUCGUUUUCCUCCAUCAUUUUCCUUUUUCCACAGAUUUUGUUUGUUCAGACUGUUUCCUCCAUAGAAGAAAUGAUAUGCUUGAAAAGAAAGGUCUCAAAUCCCUUCCAGAUUUCGUUUUCUCUCUCUUUUUCUUCUCCCUCUUUCUGUUUUUCCUCAUUCACUCUCUUCAUCCCUCCAGAUUUCGUUUUCCUCCAUCAUUUUUCUUUUUCCACAGAUUUUGUUUGUUCAGACUGUUUCCUCCAUAGAAGAAAUGAUAUGCUUGAAAAGAAGGGUCUCAAAUCCCCUCCAGAUUUUGUUUUCCCUAUCAUACUGCUUCUCAUCAUUAUUCAGUUCACGAAGAAUAAGACGUAGAUCUGUUUAUGGGUUGUGGUUUUGAUUUCAAGUGAAGAAGAAAUUAGAAAUCUGCUUGUGGGUUUCAAGUGAAGAAGAAGAUGGAGAUCUGCUUGUGGGUUGUGGAUUCGAUUUCAAGCCAAGAAAAAGAUCUACUGAAGUAAAAGGUUGAUUUAAACUGGAUGCGAUCUUGAACUUCGGUUCAUACUCAAAGUGUGGGUACGAUAAAGAGAAAGAGGAAUGGGGACUAAGCCUUCCAAAUGUAGAAGAAACAUGAAGAAAUAAUACACACUGUCAGAUGCGAGUCAAUGAAGCCAAUGAAGGCAAAAAAUGAAGCAGCUAAAGAUAUCCAAAAGGAAUUGGAAGAUUUUAAACAAAGAUGUAAAAAAAUUGAAAUUGAAGGUUUGUGCUUGGAUUUGAUUCCCUCCUCUAUUAGUGUUUUUGCCUAUCUUUUUAUUUGGUUGUAAUUCAUCAUUCCAUGUGUUGAUGACUUUUUUUAUCAAUUUUUGUAGACAUUGAUUGAAGGUGAACUAGAAAAUACCAAACUCUUUCAAUAUAUAAGGAAACUUUACAAGAAGGUUCACUAUUCGUGUAGAUCCCUCAAUAAGGAAGAUUAGAAGAUUAGAGAAUAUUGUUGGGAUGUAUAGUUUUUUUUAUGUGAAACUGAUUUACUUUUUCAAAAUUGCAAGAGGAUAAUUCCAGGAGGAUAUCCAUUAAAUGUUUUAAACGCAUGGAAUGGCACAAAGUGGAAUGUCACAAAGUUGGUUAAUGAUGUUGGGAUUGAGGAAAUUAAAAGAGAAAUGUAUAGUUUGCUUCUAUAUCCUUAGAACUGCAUUAUAUGUUCUGAAAUUUAAUUAAUCUGUGUAUCAAUCCAUCUUAAGUUGAUGGAACA